CAUUUCUCCCUGACUGUGUGUGUUAGUUCUUCAGCUACCCUUGGCCACAAGGCCAUGGUUGCUUCUUGCACACCUGCCCUGCUCCCCUCAGUGACCUCUGCAAUACAGAUAUUUUACAUAGAGAAGAAAUUAUGCUCUAUUCUGAAGGGAAUGACAGAGCAUCUGAGAUCAUACAUUUAAGUCUCCACUUUAUGUAAACCCCAGGCAAUCAUGAACAAAACAUAUUUCAGCUCUGUGUCUAUACCUAGAUCUUACUAGAAGGAGGUAACUUCCAGUAUUGUAAGUUCGGAGUCAGCCUGAGCAGGGCUCAGAAAUCAUCCUGCAGAUGCACAGCGUUAACCGGAAACAAUUCAGAGUGGCAGUGGUAUCCUGCAGGAUGUGUGCGACGCCUUCAGCUGUGUGUUGAUUUACACAGGGCCACAUUAUAGAUUAUACAUUCUGGUAAUUGUGGUAUUGUUAUUGCUGGGCUAUAUCUAAGCACAGGAAACACAUAUAAGCACAUUUGAAGUGAUAACAUCCACUCCUGUUUAAAGGGCAAUAUUUUAUUCUCAUACGUAAUACAGCGUUUGCAAUAAUAUAGACAAUUUCCUAACUAGUACAUAGAAGACUUUCAGGAGAAAAACCCGAUUCAUUGUGGGAAGCCCAUAACCACCAUUUACAAAGAAAUCCACAUCAACUUUUAUUCACUUUAAUUUUAUUUUUUUCAGUAUGGACAUUAUUCCGAGAUCAAGAAGGAGACAAUACGUUGCCAUAUGAAAGCACAAGAAAGAUCAAAAUAAGUUUUCAAUGUGUCACCGAAACCACAGUGCUAGGUUUCUGUUAAGGAGAAUGAGUAAUACCAUUCUAGCUGUGAAGAAUGCUGUGAGUGGCUAAUAAUUCCAUCUAACUGAUAGGGCAGAUUUUCCUGCAAGAAAAUAAAUUAUCCCAACUAAAAUCUUGCCCUAUUUCUUCAGCUUAGUAAGAAAACCCACUCACCAUACCCAUUUAGCUGCUUGUCUAACAUUAGGAUAUCCUCCAUCCAACAUUCCCAACCCAGUCUUGCAAUUCAGGAACAGAUUGGCUCCGACCUUGGCCCGGACCAUAGCUAAAUCUAUAUCCGUGCUCGUAAUACUGUUGCAGAUCAAUAAUACGAUGCUAUACUGGAUAAAUUGGUUUGUCGAAAUGAUAGUUAUGAAUGAGGUUCUAAACAGACACUGCAACAUAUAAUAAAGGACUGACCUACUGACAGUUCUAAUGGGGAUGUGAUUAACACAUACACAAAAUAGCCCAAAGCCCAAUGACUUGCUUCAUGAUUUCAUGAAAAACUUUUUAUUGUUUUCUAUCUAUGUUAUUUAACAUAAAGAAUACAUUUGUCUUUAUAAAUUUAUAAAUGCUACUGAUCUGAUAUUUUUGUGCUGACAGUCUAACAUUGAACAAAAGUAUAGUUUUGUCAGACCUCAUAUGCACAAAAAUUUUAAAUAAUAAUGUUGCUGAUGCCUCGUAACAUGCCUUUGCAUUCUGGCAGCCUCAUUAUAAUAUUCUUUUGGAAGCGUCACCUGCUUAGGUAAGCUUUGAUUUACAAGACAAUAUUAAGACAUGUUUAAUUUUAAUUAUGAUCUUUACUAUUUUCCUGAAUAAGAAUCUCUGUCCUUAGUUUAAACUUCUGUUAUCCUGUUUAACAAAGAAACAGCUUCAAUCGUACUAAGAGUACUUAAUGUUAAGAAAGUUUUCACAGUUGAUUGCUGGGAUUAGGGCUUUAAAAACAAAGGUCAGGUGAAGAUGCCUUCUUGGAAUACACUAGGAUAUGAGCCUCUAUUUUUGUUUGUAGUUCAUAAAUCUACAUAUUACAUAAACCAGUAAUAACUUUAAUAUAAUUAAAUAUAUUUGUGUUUGUGUGAGUGACUGGAGUUGAACAGCACACCUACAUGGCUGCAGCAUGUGCGAAUCUUCCUGCAGUACAUUCUGGUGUUUACUUUCAUUAGACAGUAAGACUUGUUGCCUGCAAAAAUAUCUCACAGCUUGAAAAGGAGACUAAUGUCUGUCUUUUUCACAUGGGAAAUGUAUUUCAUCACUCCCUCACAUGACAUCGAAAUCAGGUCUGUGGAAAUGAAAAUACCAGGCUCUGCACACCGUAGGAUUUGUAAUUAGCUUGAGAUAUCCAGAGAAAAUUCUGUAAGUUACUUUAGUCUCUUUAUUUUGCCUUGUCUCAAAUCUGUCUGAUUUUGUUUGAGUUUAUGAAUAAUUUUUGGUGGAAAUGUCUAUGUUGCAAUUGAAAUGCUCUAACAAGUCCUCAUCACUAAAUGCACUGAGUUCUGUUACUUGUGAGGAGCCACGUGGAGUCCUGGAGUCCUUGUGGCUGCUGGGGAACUCAGGAGCUUCCUGGUCUCACUUGAGCCAUAUGACAGAACCCCAAAAACACCUGGGAUGUCUUUAGGUCUUAAAUAUUUGGUUUAAAUGUCUAAAAGGUAAGAGUUUCUGAAGCAUCAGAAGACAUGAGAGUUAACAGAUCAGCCUGAGCCAUGCCUCUUGCGUUUACUUCUUCAAUAAAGUUGUCAGGAUGCUGCCAAGCCAGGCUGCCAGAUGUGCUCUCCACAUUUGGGGUAAGUAAUCACUUGGGCCUGGGAUCUUCUGCACAAGCUAUGCCUGAACCCACUGCAGUUAUUUUAGGUGACACACUAAAGUGAUCAGCAUAAACUGAGAAGACUUUGUCCAGCACUUUGUCAGCGUGCCAGAAGAAAUUCCUUGGGAUUCAGAGUCUAAGAUUUCAUUUCAGUUAAUUGUCAGGAUGAUGAAUAUUAUUUAUUCCAUACUAAGGCUUAUUUUAAUCCAAAACACAGACAGAUAGCGUCAAUGCAGGCAAAAUGAUAGUUCUUCCUGCAUAGAAGCCCAUCUAGAUAUAAUCCAGUUUGCUCUCCUGUCUCUAAAUUUGAAGGACGACAGGAAUGGAGACUGCAUCUGGCCUGGGAUUCCCUUGCACUUGAACUCGAUCUAUUUAGGCAAGUCUAUUUUUUCAGAAAAUAAAACUAUUAUAGACAACAAUAUGGUGAACUGAAAACUCCUCAAAGUUGUUAAAUUUUGUCUUGUUUGGAAAAGGAGCUGUAUCAGGCAGAUGCUCAGUGAGGCAAUGGAGCCCAGUGGGCAGAGUGCUGGACAGGAAUUGAGAAAUCUGGGUUCUUUUCCAAAAUCUCCUGACUUUUAAAUGAUCUUGAGCUGUCACUUCUCUGUGCUUUGGAUUCACUGCCUGUAUGAGGAGGAUAAUAAUGCUCAUAAUGGUUGCAGAGUUGCUGAAGGAAGGAUCUGCAUGAACACAACACUUCGUGCACUACCCUGAGCUAGAUGCAGCUGUGGUUAAAGGUGGCCAGGAUUUGGUCAAUCAUGUAUUCCAGAAAAUCUGGGAAACUUUGAUUGUUACACAGCUUGCUUUCAGUUAUCUGUCAAAACACAUUUUCAUGUUAAAGGUCUUUCUUAUCUUUCAGGCCAUUACAAAAUAUCUCCAGAAAAUUUCAUAUUAUUUACUUACGCAUUAAUACUCAUAGUUCAUACUCCUGUUACUGGGAACUGCAGAGUGCCUCUCAGGAUCAUACAAAUUAUAACUUAACAUAGAUAAUAUGGUUUUGACCUAAAAAAGAGAAGUGUUUUGCAAUGUUAUAUUUAACAUAUCUGGGGAAAAAAAUUAUCAAUUACUUUAUGUUAUAAGGUAGUUCAAUUGGGCUUUUAGUUUGAAACAUUCUCUUUGAAACUAAACAAAAUUUUUUUAAUUGUCAUUUUAAAUCAAUGUCUUGAUUUCACACGUUUUGUAUUAAUAUACAACUACAAGCUCUGUGCGCAAAAAAAGAACAGUCUACUUUCAAAACUGCUGAAUGCUUUGACCUCAAGGGCAUAGAAACUGUUGACUCAUUGUUUUUACUGCAUAUAAUAUUAGUCCUUUGUCACAUCCAGGGAAUGACAUCAUCUUCUUCAUUGUUAGCAGCAGGUUUGAAUAACAGAAAAAGUGCAGCAUUAGUUGUCUGCUGUGUUUGUUGUUAAUAAAUGAAUGGAUAUCUGGUACCAAGACUCAGAUUAGGAUUUUUGAGUAACAUUUAGAACAAGCUGGUGCCCAAACCCUGCAAAGAGCUUUGCUUCUGGCCACCAUCUGCAGGGCAGUUGAGCUGGCAGGAGCCUGGAGCCUGCAGAGGGAACGUAGCUGAUGGUUCUGGCUUCUUGAAAGUGGUAAGAGGAGUUGGGAAAGGAAGAGAUUAAGCACAGAAUGAAACAGAUCUGUUCUUCAAGGUCAUUUUAGUAAAAGGAGUCCCUGCACUUCUGUGAAUCAUACUUCUGUGAAAUCUAAAAUCAUGAAAAGUAAUUAUCGGAAAAUAAGUCAUCUCUAGGACAUGCAAACAAAAUGGGAACUAAUUAUCUUGAAAAUGCACCAGAACAAGUAUUUCAUCCAUUUCAAAUUUGUAUUCAUGUUUAUUAGUCUUCUACUCCCUAUAACUAAAAUGUCUGUGUCCUAAUCUCAAAGAGUAAUUCCCUAUCAGAAGUAUUUGGUUACUCCUGCCUGCUUCAUGGAAGAAGGAUACAUCAUUAUGAUUACUAACCAGGCUGAUGGAGGUCUUCUUUAAGGUCAUACACCACCUUCUAUAAGGUUCUUCAGAAUUCUUUCAUGGCAGAGAAAAUUUUAAGUGUUGCUUCCUGAACAAUAAACAUUCCUAGUGGAAAAGAAUCUACUCAGGGAGAGAGUCCUCGAGAGUCUGAUCAAAUGUCAAAUUCUGUCUAAUCCAUUACCAAUUGCCUUUAUGUUUUCCCAGAAAAAUGUGAUGUCUUUAACUAUAAAAUUAUACCUUUCUGGUUCCAAAAAUACUUGUCCUGAAGAUAAGUUCCUGUGUUGAGAGAAUGAAUCAAACUGGACUUUGAAAAGCUAAAAUCCAUACAGCUGUGAGAGAAGCACUGAGGCAGCAGGCUGGGUUAAGGGUUAAGGAUCCAGGAUUGCUGGAUCACAGAGGUCCACAUACCAAGAGUGGACGCACACAAGGAAAUAUUUUCUAGAAUGCCAGAACUAAAAAAGAAUAAACGAGCCAUGCUGUAAAAGAUCAAAUUCAGACCUUGUUGACUUGGAAGCAAGAGGUCUGAUGUACUGGCCUCUUCACAACAGACAUACCUGUACUUGUGCAGGUAGGGAGAGCUGCCUUGCUUGUAGGUUUGAGCAGAUGCAUCUAUCUCAAUUCCUAUCCCAAAUUUAUAUUGCAAAUUUCAGACUUAUCUGUUAUGAGAAGUAAGAAAUGUUACACUUUUUUCUACAUAUUUCAUAUGCUUUUGCCAUAUGAAGUCUUUCCUCAGUCUUCUGUUCCAGUCCGUAGUUCACCUUCAAUCAACAUUUCAAAAAGUCUCAAGUAGCAUGAAUUUUGGUGGGGCCAAAUCACUUGAUUUUCCCUUACCCUGUUUAGAAGAGGCUUUACUUGGAUAAAAGCAAUAGUGCCAGCCAUUUCCCUUCAUCCUUUAAAAUUACUGGCCACCUCUAAAGAACUUGGCCUCUCUUUUAUGUCACUUUCUGACAACUCAUUUGAGUUGAACAGGUUGCUGUGGCCAAAUUAAAUGCUUGGGAAAUGGACCAUACAAUUAAUUUGCAAUAGUAAGUUGUCUCAGCAUCAUUUCUCUUCCUCUCAAGGGGAAUGCUGGCUCAAGCAAAAGAAAAGAUUAACGUAAUAAAAAUAUUCUAAAGACAUCCUGUUAAUUGUCCCAAGCUCAGAUGGUAUUGUCUAUUCUUCUGUUGUGCAUAGCCAGCAAACAGUGUAAAAUCCAGAAUUCCUUCCUACCAUGAAAGCAGAGCCUUCAGUGCUACAGGAUAAUCCCUGCCUUUCUGGAAAGCAGAUGAAAAUGUGGUGUGGCAGAGCUUUGCUUUGGGUUUCAGAGGUGAGCUCAAAUUUGCUCCAUUGAUGAAUAUAAUAAUAGGACUUGUUAAUUUAGAUACAUCAGCAACUUUAAUCAAGAGAAUAAAGUUUUAUGGAAAAAAAGGAAAAUUGCAAACAAAGUAAGAGCAAAUUUUGGGAAAAGAAGGAAAAUUUUUUCCCCUGAAUAUGCAUAAGAGAUUUCCCAUGUUUGUUUAGGGACAGAAAACACUCGAGGUUUUUAAUUCAGCCAAAAUAAAGGCUUUCAUUUACAAUCA